rnacentral:rRNA from 1 species
AGAGAUGUGUGAUGACGCAUAUCAAUAAGCGGAGGAAAAGAAACUAACAAGGAUUCCCCUAGUAACGGCGAGUGAAGCGGGAAGAGCUCAAAUUUGAAAUCUUCAAGGGUUUCCCUUGACGAAUUGUAGUUUAAAGAAGUGUUUUCUGUUAGAGAGGUGGUAAAAGUUCUUUGGAAUAGGACAUCAUAGAGGGUGAGAAUCCCGUAUUUGAUCACUUUCUACUAACGUUGUGAUACACUUUCAAGGAGUCGGAUUGUUUGGGAAUGCAGUCCAAAAUGGGUGGUAAAUUUCAUCUAAAGCUAAAUAUUGGCGAGAGACCGAUAGCGAACAAGUACCGUGAGGGAAAGAUGAAAAGAACUUUGAAAAGAGAGUUAAACAGUACGUGAAAUUGUCAAAAGGGAAGCGUUUGACACCAGUGUUGUUUUUCCGAAAAUCAAUUAUGAAUGGCUUGAUUUUAAGUUUCAUGACCUUAAAAGCUUGUUUCUUAUUUUUCAUGUCUUUCGUAAUGCACUUUUCGGUUAACAAGUCAACAUCAAUUUCUUUUGUUGUAAAAGGUUAAGAGGAAGGUGGCUUUACUUUCGGGUAAAGUGUUUAUAGCCUUUUACCUCUGCAAUCGGAGAGAUUGAGGUCUGCAGCGUAGAUCCUUCGGGGUUAGAUACAUUUGUGCUAAGUUAUAGCUUUUCAUAGACAACUUGUUGACUAUGUUAAGUCUUGUAGCUUACUCGCUUACGCUAUUUUACCUACGCUUAGGAUGUUGACGAUCAGCUGAGCGCG